rnacentral:lncRNA from 1 species
GGGUCACGGGCAUGCGACACGGGUCGCAGGAAGGACAGGGCGGGCGGCUGCUCGACUAUGGGGGCGUAGAGACUGCCGGGCGGGGGUGGUUGCCCGGUCGUCCUCAGGGAAUGGAUGAAGGAAAAAGCGGCCCCUGGGGCCGGCAAACUUAGUUUCAGGACCUCAUUGCUUGCGUUUGAGAGGUGCAGACAUGGCCAAGUCCAAGAACCACACCACACACAACCAGUCCCGCAAAUGGCACAGAAAUGGCAUCAAGAAACCCCGGUCACAAAGAUACGAAUCUCUUAAAGGGGUCGACCCCAAGUUUCUGAGGAACAUGCGCUUUGCCAAGAAGCACAACAAGAAAGGCCUGAAGAAGAUGCAGGCCAACAAUGCCAAGGCAGUGAGUGCACGAGCAGAGGCCAUCAAGGCCCUCGUGAAGCCUCAGGCUGUCAAGCCCAAGAUGCCAAAGGGCUCCAGCCGCAAACUCAGCCGUCUGGCUUUCAUCGCUCACCCCAAGCUUGGGAAGAAGAUUCGAAGCUACAUGGCCAAGGGUCGUAGGCUCUGCCAACCAAAGCCCAAGGUUCAAACCAAGGCAGAGGCCAAAGCUCCAGCUAAGGCCCAGGCCAAAGCUCCAGCCCAGGCUCCCAAGGGUGCCCAGGCCCCUGUGAAGGCCCCAUAGAACAGGCUCCUGCCAGUGUGAAGACAGACAGACUGCUGUGACACACCCACCUACACACUAUCUGCAGAUGACCAGUGUCCUAUGCUGUUUUUACAAAUAAACUUGAGACAAGA